rnacentral:rRNA from 1 species
UACGGGGGGGGCAAGCGUUGUUCGGAAUUACUGGGCGUAAAGGGCUCGUAGGCGGCCAACUAAGUCAUACGUGAAAUCCUUCGGCUUAACCGGGGAACUGCGUCUGAUACUGGAUGGCUUGAGUUCGGGAGAGGGAUGCGGAAUUCCAGGUGUAGCGGUGAAAUGCGUAGAUAUCUGGAGGAACACCGGUGGCGAAGGCGGCAUCCUGGACCGAUACUGACGCUGAGGUGCGAAAGCGUGGGGAGCAAACAGG